rnacentral:sRNA from 1 species
CUGCGCUGCCAGCCUCUUCACCGCAAUCUCGGCUCCAUCAGACAACUCACCCUGAAAACACGAACAGACAAAGCAAAUAAUAAUCAUGCAUGUUAGCAUCACCAAGUCAUCCGCAUUUUCGUCAACAUUGACUGCUAAACAAUAGGGACAGCAACUAUGAUGCCGCAGAUUAUUAGCAUAUAUAGCGACAACCAUUCACACAUUUUGGUCAAAAAUCGACUGUAAAAACAAAAAUUAUAGGAGUUUCAGAUAACUUGCCCUGUAGACAGGUCCAAAUCCGCCUGUGCCGAGCCUGUGAUCUUCAGAGAAGUUGUCCGUGGCAGCGGCAAGAUCGCCGAAGUCGUAGAGCGUGAAAUCGGUGCUGCUCUCCUCGGUCCUCCACAGCUUCAGUGCCUCCUCUGUCUUGGAGCUGUUCCUGGAAUGUGCUUCCAGCUGCCGAUUCGACUUCCUCCCUGUGAUCAAUGAUGGAUUGGACAUUUGUGGUUUGGUUGAUUAAUUAAGAACUUUGUGAUGCUGAAAUGGAGGGAGAAAAUGAUGUUCAUUAUGAGAGGGAGUUAGUGGCAUCGUGUUGUUACCGUCUCCUUUCCGUAGUUUUUUUAUCAGUAGGAGGCAGCCGACCAGCAUGAAACAGAAGACCGUGAUUGACACGGAUAGAACGAUAACUAAGGUCUUCCUGUGGUUGGUUCCUGCAUAAAUAAAGAAGAAAAUUAGUAGUGAUCAUACAGAGAUUGUUUCAAUGUUAUUUGUAGAAAAGAUAAUGCACUGACAGAAAACACCACCAUUAAGUGGUUACGUAUUUGACCAUUGUGAGCUCACAACCAAACAUGACAGUAAUAGUAAUAAUAAUAUGAUUUGUCUUUGCCAAUUCAAACAAAUUUAUGGGGCGUUCAGAUCGUAGUCAAAAUAAAUUUUACCAAAAUUUGAUAUUUUUGGCAAGUUGACAAUAUUACUAAAAUUUUAGCAGGAUUUUUUAUAUAUUUACCAAUGUUUGGCAACAACUAAAUAUAGGCAUUUUUUAAGUAACUUUACCGAAAAAAAUAUUAUGAUUGAAAAUGAUAUAAUCUGAACAGCCCCUAUGUAACAAAUCUAUCUGUUUACACCUUAUACUAAUUAAGCACUAUGAGAUCUCUCAUGUUAAAAUGAAAGAUCUGGUUGUUGAUUAGGUGGAUUAUAUUAUCAUGCCAUAGAUUGUAUUCAGAAUUUGAGUUAAAUAAAAAGAUGACAUUAAAAUUAAUACCAUGCAUAUAAGCUGGACAAUCAUGAAAUCUCUUAUUAAUAGUAUAUAAACGUAACCCCCAAAUUCAAAAUUAAUAAUUACUACUAGCAAGUUUUAAUUGAUAUGGACCCUUCCUUCAAUCUAAGCUCCAAUAAUUCCAAAAAAAAAACACAAUCAAUAUGGUCAAAAGUUUAACAUUUAUAACAACGUACAACAAUAGUAGUUAAGCUCCAACUAUAGCUUUUGAGCAAAUUUAUUCGGAGGAGAAGAAAUGAUCGUGUGUGUAGCAUAUGUGUUGGUUGUUACCAUUGUUUGCGGUUGGUGAGGGUGCGACGUCUUGCAGGCCGAUCCUGACGUCCGGCGUGCCGGCGUAGAACUGGUAGCUCUCGUACCGGAAGUUGCACCGGACGCCGA